GCCAGUGGUGAACUCCACAUACGCAUCCUUUGCUGAGGAUACGGUUAACGGAGCGAAAGCGACGUUCAACCGCAAAAGAAGCAGAGGGGGCUUAGUGGUGGGGUGACUGCGUACCUUUUGUAUAAUGGGUCAGCGACUUAUAUUCUGUAGCAAGGUUAACCGUAUAGGGGAGCCGGAGGGAAACCGAGUCUUAAUUGGGCGUUAAGUUGCAGGGUAUAGACCCGAAACCCGGUGAUCUAGCCAUGGGCAGGUUGAAGGUUGGGUAACACUAACUGGAGGACCGAACCGACUAAUGUUGAAAAAUUAGCGGAUGACCUGUGGCUGGGGGUGAAAGGCCAAUCAAACCGGGAGAUAGCUGGUUCUCCCCGAAAGCUAUUUAGGUAGCGCCUCGUGAAUUCAUCUCCGGGGGUAGAGCACUGUUUCGGCUAGGGGGCCAUCCCGGCUUACCAACCCGAUGCAAACUGCGAAUACCGGAGAAUGUUAUCACGGGAGACACACGGCGGGUGCUAACGUCCGUCGUGAAGAGGGAAACAACCCAGACCGCCAGCUAAGGUCCCAAAGUCAUGGUUAAGUGGGAAACGAUGUGGGAAGGCCCAGACAGCCAGGAUGUUGGCUUAGAAGCAGCCAUCAUUUAAAGAAAGCGUAAUAGCUCACUGGUCGAGUCGGCCUGCGCGGAAGAUGUAACGGGGCUAAACCAUG
rnacentral:rRNA from 1 species